rnacentral:rRNA from 1 species
GAGGAAGUAAAAGUCGUAACAAGGUUUCAUCUACAGUAGCCUUUGCAUCCUGGUGCGACCAGGAGGCCCCCCGCGACUGAAAAUAAUGGUGGCCGUUUGCAAGUCAGGAUUCGUCUUGGCGACACAGCUAAAUUAUCGGGGAUACCCAGGCUUCGCGGCCUGGAAGAUCCGUAGCACGUCAGUGUUCACAGGCUAAAUAGUUGUGGGUUCAGCCAGCAGGCCGGGCUUAAGAUAUAGUCGGUCCUCGUGAUGGAUCACGGGGAGACAGCGUUCCGUAGGUGAACCUGCGGAAGGAUCAUUAAAGAAUCGGUGGCCCUCGCGGUCCCAUUCUCACCCUUUGUAUACCAAACAUCAGUUGCUUUGGCUGGCCCUCGGGCCGGCCAGAGGAUAUAAACCCUUGAAUCUUUGCUGUCUGAGUACUAUAUUAAUAGUUAAAACUUUCAACAACGGAUCUCUUGGUUCUGGCAUCGAUGAAGAACGCAGCGAAAUGCGAUAAGUAAUGUGAAUUGCAGAAUUCAGUGAAUCAUCGAAUCUUUGAACGCACAUUGCGCCCUCUGGUAUUCCGGGGGGCAUGCCUGUUCGAGCGUCAUUACAACCCUCAAGCCUGGCUUGGUGUUGGGCUCGCCCUCAGUGGGCCUGCCUCAAAAUCAGUGGCGGCUCCGUCCGGUCUCAAGCGCAGUAAUGCUCGUCGCUUGUUGGUCCUGGGCGGCGGCCUGCCAGCAACCCCCAAUUUUACAUUGUUGACCUCGGAUCAGGUAGGGAUACCCGCUGAACUUAAGCAUAUCA